rnacentral:rRNA from 1 species
GAAUGAACCGGCGAGUUACGAUUUGUUGCAAGGUUAAGCGGAAAAAGCGGAGCCGUAGCGAAAGCGAGUCUGAAUAGGGCGCAUAAGUAACAGGUCGUAGACCCGAAACCAGGUGAUCUACCCAUGUCCAGGAUGAAGGUAAGGUAAUACUUACUGGAGGUCCGAACCCACGCACGUUGAAAAGUGCGGGGAUGAGGUGUGGGUAGCGGAGAAAUUCCAAUCGAACUUGGAGAUAGCUGGUUCUCUCCGAAAUAGCUUUAGGGCUAGCCUCGAGGUAAAGAGUCAUGGAGGUAGAGCACUGUUUGGACUAGGGGCCCUUCUCGGGUUACCGAAUUCAGAUAAACUCCGAAUGCCAUGUACUUAUACUCGGGAGUCAGACUGCGAGUGAUAAGAUCCGUAGUCGAAAGGGAAACAGCCCAGACCACCAGUUAAGGUCCCCAAAUAUAUGUUAAGUGGAAAAGGAUGUGGGGUUGCUUAGACAACCAGGAUGUUGGCUUAGAAGCAGCCACCAUUGAAAGAGUGCGUAAUAGCUCACUGGUCGAGUGACCCCGCGCCGAAAAUGUACCGGGGCUAAACAUAUUACCGAAACUGUGGAUGAACCUCUUUAGAGGUUCGUGGUAGGAGAGCGUUCUAAGGGCGGUGAAGUCAGACCGGAAGGACUGGUGGAGCGCUUAGAAGUGAGAAUGCCGGUAUGAGUAGCGAAAGAAGGGUGAGAAUCCCUUCCACCGAAUAUCUAAGGUUUCCUGAGGAAGGCUCGUCCGCUCAGGGUUAGUCGGGACCUAAGCCGAGGCCGAUAGGCGUAGGCGAUGGACAACAGGUAGAGAUUCCUGUACCAGUGCUAAUUGUUUAACCGAUGGGGUGACACAGAAGGAUAGGGAAUCGCACGAAUGGAAAUGUGCGUCCAAGCAGUGAGUGUGAGAAGUAGGCAAAUCCGCUUCUCGCGAAGCAUGAGCUGUGAUGGGGAAGGAAAUUAAGUACGGAAGUUCCUGAUUUCACGCUGUCAAGAAAAGCCUCUAGGAAGAGUAGUACUGCCCGUACCGCAAACCGACACAGGUAGAUGAGGAGAGAAUCCUAAGGUGAGCGAGAGAACUCUCGUUAAGGAACUCGGCAAAAUGACCCCGUAACUUCGGGAGAAGGGGUGCUCUAUUAGGGUGCAAGCCCGAGAGAGCCGCAGUGAAUAGGCCCAGGCGACUGUUUAGCAAAAACACAGGUCUCUGCAAAACCGUAAGGUGACGUAUAGGGGCUGACGCCUGCCCGGUGCUGGAAGGUUAAGAGGAGUGCUUAGCUUCGGCGAAGGUACGAAUUGAAGCCCCAGUAAACGGCGGCCGUAACUAUAACGGUCCUAAGGUAGCGAAAUUCCUUGUCGGGUAAGUUCCGACCCGCACGAAAGGCGCAACGAUCUGGGCACUGUCUCAACGAGAGACUCGGUGAAAUUAUAGUACCUGUGAAGAUGCAGGUUACCCGCGACAGGACGGAAAGACCCCGUGGAGCUUUACUGCAACCUGAUAUGGAAUGUUUGUACCGCUUGUACAGGAUAGGUAGGAGCCGAAGAGACGUGUGCGCUAGCAUACGAGGAGGCAAUGGUGGGAUACUACCCUGGCUGUAUGACCAUUCUAACCCGCCACGCUUAGCGCGUGGGGAGACAGUGUCAGGUGGGCAGUUUGACUGGGGCGGUCGCCUCCUAAAGAGUAACGGAGGCGCCCAAAGGUUCCCUCAGAAUGGAUGGAAAUCAUUCGCAGAGUGUAAAGGCACAAGGGAGCUUGACUGCGAGACUGACAAGUCGAGCAGGGACGAAAGUCGGGCUUAGUGAUCCGGUGGUUCCGCAUGGAAGGGCCAUCGCUCAACGGAUAAAAGCUACCCCGGGGAUAACAGGCUUAUCUCCCCCAAGAGUCCACAUCGACGGGGAGGUUUGGCACCUCGAUGUCGGCUCGUCGCAUCCUGGGGCUGUAGUCGGUCCCAAGGGUUGGGCUGUUCGCCCAUUAAAGCGGCACGCGAGCUGGGUUCAGAACGUCGUGAGACAGUUCGGUCCCUAUCCGUCGCGGGCGCAGGAAAUUUGAGAGGAGCUGUCCUUAGUACGAGAGGACCGGGAUGGACACACCGCUGGUGUACCAGUUGUUCCGCCAGGAGCAUCGCUGGGUAGCUAUGUGUGGCAGGGAUAAACGCUGAAAGCAUCUAAGCGUGAAGCCCCCCUCAAGAUGAGAUUUCCCAUUUCUUCGGAAAGUAAGAUCCCUGAAAGAUGAUCAGGUAGAUAGGUUUGGAGUGGAAGUGUAGCGAUACAUGGAGCGGACAAAUACUAAUCGAUCGAGGACUUAACCAAAA